UGGAUAGAGAAAGAACAUGUUCCUGUGCCCUCUAUAACCUGGCCCCAGGCAGCAGAAAGGCUCAUACAUCGCACAUAGAGCUUUGUGACUUCAGAGAUAUAUUGACAUUCUACUAUUCAGGAAGAUGGAAAAAAAGAUGGCUGUGAAAGAAAGGAAAAGUUUCUUUUACAUCUCUGUUCGACAAGCUUGUGUCUCAGACAAAUUAAUAUGGAGCUUCUGAUAUGAGCUUGUUGAAAAGAAGCUGCUACCAACUGGACAUGAUCUGGUAAUUACUUUUUUCCCUCACAGAACUGGAACAUUUUCCAUACCAAAUAAUGUGGUAAAG